rnacentral:rRNA from 1 species
CCUACGGGCGGCAGCAGUAGGGAAUAUUGCUCAAUGGGGGGAACCCUGAAGCAGCAACGCCGCGUGGAGGAUGAAGGUUUUCGGAUUGUACACUCCUUUUGUUAGAGAAGAUAAUGACGGUAUCUAACGAAUAAGCACCGGCUAACUACGUGCCAGCAGCCGCGGUAAUACGGAGGGUGCAAGCGUUACUCGGAUUCACGAGGCGUAAAGAGCGCGUAGGCGGGAUAGCAAGUCAGAUGUGAAAUCCUAUGGCUUAACCAUAGAACUGCAUUUGAAAAUGUUAUUUUAGAGUAUUGGAGAGGUAGGUGGAAUUCUUGGUGUAGGGGUAAAAUCCGUAGAGAUCAAGAGGAAUACUCAUGGCGAAGGCGACCUGCUAGAACAUAACGGACGCUGAUGCGCGAAAGCGUGGGGAGCAAACAGGAUUAGAUACCCUUGUAGUC